rnacentral:rRNA from 1 species
UACGGAGGGUGCAAGCGUUAAUCGGAAUUACUGGGCGUAAAGCGCACGUAGGCGGUUCAGUUAGCCAGCCGUGAAAUCCCCGGGCUCAACCUGGGAAUUGCGGUUGGAACUACUGGGCUGGAGUACAGUAGAGGGGUGUGGAAUUUCAGGUGUAGCGGUGAAAUGCGUAGAUAUCUGAAGGAACAUCAGUGGCGAAGGCGACACCCUGGACUGAUACUGACGCUGAGGUGCGAAAGCGUGGGGAGCAAACAGG